UACGUAGGGUGCAAGCGUUGUCCGGAAUUACUGGGCGUAAAGAGCUCGUAGGUGGUUUGUCGCGUUGUUCGUGAAAUUCCCUGGCUUAACUGGGGGCGUGCGGGCGAUACGGGCAGACUGGAGUACUGCAGGGGAGACUGGAAUUCCUGGUGUAGCGGUGGAAUGCGCAGAUAUCAGGAGGAACACCGGUGGCGAAGGCGGGUCUCUGGGCAGUAACUGACGCUGAGGAGCGAAAGCGUGGGGAGCGAACAGG
rnacentral:rRNA from 1 species